UUAUAACAACAAGAAGACUUAGAUUAAGUAGCAUGACCCAGCGGCAUUUACAAUGAGUAGAAAGUUUUAUAAGGAGAUAAUGUAGAAAAGGCCGACGGCGAUAUUUACAACGCAUGGAACCUAAUCUGUUCGAGGACCUAAAUAGAGGAGUUGUCAUGACAGUGGCUCGACAUAGUUCUUCAGGUGUCAAAGCCUUGCCUUACAAAGGUGCACAAAAUAAACCCAGUGCGUGCCCAAAAGUGCGCUGAAUUGACGAUCUUCAGUCCUGAUGGACAGAGAGUUGAUGAGAUGCAGCAGAGGUUAGAAGCUGUGUUCAGAAACACACCCUUCCAGCGCCGGACUUCGCUUGAUAAGCAAGCAGAACACAGAAGAUACCCUGCGGAAGAAAAGGAACAGAAGUAAUUAUUAUACCAUCACACACUCCCUCCGUAAAGAAAUAUAUGAGUGUGUGCAGAAAAUAUGGAACCCAAGAAGUGCCGGCCGUACCGUAUGUACGUAUGUAGCUUAAUCCAUGGAGGAACUACUGCCUCGCUUUCUUUGGAGCGCCAGCUCCCUUUGCAGGAGUGUUUGCCCUGAGUUUGAUUCGAAAUUGCAAUGGCAUUUUUAUGAAUCGCCAUAAUUGGAGUGGCAUUUAUCUAAUUAACCCUUGAUUCAUUAAUAAUAAUAAAAGUCAUGUUAAUAAUGUUGUUCCUGGUGAAAAGAAAACUAAAGCUAGAGUGUUAUAGAAACAACAAGAACAUAAAUAUUAGACACGUAGCAAAUUCAAUUGUAUAGCUAAUUAGUUUGUAUGAACAAUUGUAUAGGCAAUUAGCUGGAUGAACAAAGCAAGUGAAUUUGCAUGGAACAGCAAGAAGUGCGUGUACAUGCAAAAGAGAAAAGGAAGAAGAAUGCAUAUUACAAUUUGAAGGCAAAAGGCUGUUUUAUUGAGCUUAUCAUUAAUUUGAACAUAGCAGUCAUCGGGGAAAAAGCUUGAUUAAAUAGCACUGCAUACAUCAGCGAAGGAAAAACCAUUUUUGAGAUGUAUAGAGAAGGAUAUUUUUUCUUCUCAAAGGACAAAAGACCCAUCAGGUUCUUAAAACCACAUGCUACAAAGCAAGUCAUUUUGCUUGCAACAGCAAGAAUUGCCUGUACAUGCAAGAGGAAUGAAAGAAGAAUGCAUAUUACACUUUGAAGGUAAAAGGAUGUUUUAUUCAGGCUCUUAUUAAUUUGAACAUAGCAGUCAUGGGAAACAAAGCUUGAUUAAUUAGCAUCGCACACAUCAGGUUAGAAGAAACCAUUUUUGAGGCGUAUAGAGAAGGAUGUUUUUGUUUUCAAAGGACAAAAGACCCAUUAGAUUCUUAUACCACAGGCUAAUUUUACUGGUUAGACAUCUAAUCUACAGUGCAUUGGUGAGCAACAAAACAAUAAACGAGCUUGACAAGGAAUCUAGCCUACUGGAUACUGAAACCUGACGCUAAUUUUCUUGGAUAGCUAAUGAUCCUGCAUAUAAUAGUGAUCUAUAGAACAUCUAACCAACCUGACAGUGAACCUGUAUUUAGUAGCUUCUUAAAAGGUAUGAGCAAGCAAAUAGACAAAAGAACUACUGGAACUUAGAACUGCAUCAGGAAGAAUUGAGCCAAUCAAUAAUGUAACAUCACAACUCUAUUUGUUUCUUAACAAGUAGAAUUUCCUUGCUGGCAAGAAUAUGAAACCUAACUCAUUUCUUUGGUCAUAUGAGCUGAAGUAAUUGAAUGGAACAUGCCAUGAGUCUUUACCUCUUGGUUUUAGAGGGGUCAGGAAGGAGGCUGUUUGAAUUUUCAGUAGCUGUAGCUUCAUUCUCCUAGCUAACCUGUUUAAUUGAGUGAAUUGCAAAAAACCACCACAUCUGAGGCUUCAUCUGCGGAAAACCACCAGGUCAAUAAUUUUUAGCAAAAAUCACCACGGAUUCGGUAAACAUUUUGCAAAUCGCACUGAUCAGGUGAUUUGGCUCAUUUGAUCACUUUCUGACAAGUGAGACCAGAUUGUAAGGAGCUAACUUGACAUAACAUUUACAUACACACCCUUAGAUCUAAAAAGAAAAAGCAAUCAACACCUCUUUUGCACAACUGCCAGAGAGAGGAGAGGAGGCGUCGUUCCCCGGCGAGGCCGACCUCGUCGGCGCAGAGGGC
rnacentral:lncRNA from 1 species